CAACCUCUGACGAGAAACGUGUAUGUUG
rnacentral:ncRNA from 1 species